rnacentral:rRNA from 1 species
UAGGGAAUCUUCGGCAAUGGGGGGAACCCUGACCGAGCAACGCCGCGUGAGUGAAGAAGGUUUUCGGAUCGUAAAGCUCUGUUGUUAAGGAAGAACGAGUGUGAGAAUGGAAAGUUCAUACUGUGACGGUAUCUAACCAGAAAGCCACGGCUAACUACGUGCCAGCAGCCGCGGUAAUACGUAGGUGGCAAGCGUUGUCCGGAUUUAUUGGGCGUAAAGCGAGCGCAGGCGGUCAAUUAAGUCUGAUGUGAAAGCCCCCGGCUCAACCGGGGAGGGUCAUUGGAAACUGGUUGACUUGAGUGCAGAAGAGGAGAGUGGAAUUCCAUGUGUAGCGGUGAAAUGCGUAGAUAUAUGGAGGAACACCAGUGGCGAAGGCGACUCUCUGGUCUGUAACUGACGCUGAGGUUCGAAAGCGUGGGGAGCGAACAGG